UAUAUUACUCUAAGGAUUACACUGCGCGUCGGAAAGCCCAAAAAUUGACCUAAACACACACCUCGUCAGGAAUAAAGAGGCAAAAGGAGCAAAUGCGCACGGACCGCAGCUACACACCCGCAUCCACCGCACUCUUUUGCGUGUUUUCCUCAGCUAUCUGUUUUUUUUUUUGUUUUUUAUUUUUUUCUUAAUGACAUUUUGUCAUUUUUGGAGCGGGUGACGACCAGAAGAAGAGAGUGAAAAGAAAAAAAGGCAGACAGACAGAGAGAGAGAGAGAGAGAGAGAGAGAGAGAGAGAGAGAGAGAAACACCGACAGCUCGACGGAGGUGCUGUUGGGUCGCGCGCGCUCGCUUGGGCUGGAUGGACUGCACCUUUCCGGGAAACUAAAGCAGGGACAGAAAUAGAAAUAUACAGGCUCUACAAAGCCAGAAUUAACCUGAGACCUGUUUCGCAUUUAUUCAUUUAUUUUGGUUAUUUAUUUAUUUAUUUAUAUAGAUAUAUAUUUUUUGCAGACAUUUGUUAAAGAGACACCACAGAAGACCAGGUGCGUUUAGUAGCUUAAACACAGCAAUGCGUCCAGUCUCAGGCGUGCACAUCUUGUGAUCUGACUCCAGUUUUUUUCCCCCUCAUUAAGAAAUUAGCCACAUUCCUCCGCCUGGUCGGUUCGCGCGCGCGUGUUCAUGUGUGCGUUGAUUAACGCGCGCGCCACGCACGCACCGCAUCCACACGAACCGAGCCAGACCCGACGCGAGCUCCUCCCCCUCCCCGUCUUUCUCUCCCCGCCCCCUCCACCUCCUCCUCUAUGCUCAGCUCGGUGUGCGUCUCCUCUUUCAGAGGGCGCAAGGGUGGCAGCAAGUCGUGCGCCAAAGCAUGCGCGAGCGCCGACAUGACUUGCCCGUCGGACAGCGAGCGCAUCGUGAUCAACUGCGGCGGCGUGCGGCACGAGACCUACCGCAGCACGCUCCGCACGCUGCCCGGCACGCGCCUCUCCUGGCUCACCGAGCCCGACGCGUGCAGUAACUUCGACUACGACCCCAAGUCGGACGAGUUCUUCUUCGACCGGCACCCGAGCACGUUCGCCUUCAUCCUCAACUACUACCGCACCGGCAAGCUGCACUGUCCCGGCGAUGUGUGCGGCCCGCUCUUCGAGGAGGAGCUCGCCUUCUGGGGCAUCGACGAGACGGACGUGGAGGCGUGCUGCUGGAUGAACUACCGGCAGCACCGCGACGCCGAGGAGGCGCUCGACAGCUUCGAGACGCCCGAGCCGGACGCGCCGGAGGACGAGGCUGCGGCGCUGGCCGGUGGCGGCGGAGGGGGCGGGGCCGACGGAGACCUCAAGCGGCUCUGCCUGCACGAGGACGGCGGCAAGCCGAGCUGGUGGAGCGUGUGGCAGCCGCGCGUCUGGGCGCUCUUCGAGGACCCGUACUCGUCCAAAUACGCGCGGUACGUGGCGUUCGGCUCACUCUUCUUCAUCCUCAUCUCCAUCUCGACGUUCUGCCUGGAGACGCAUGAGGCGUUCAACACCAUCUACAACCGUACAGAGAAUGUGACGGUGGGCAACGUGACGCGUGAGGAAGUGGUGUUCGAGGUGGUGACGGACAGCUGGCUGACGUACGUGGAAGGCGUGUGCGUAAUAUGGUUCACCAUCGAGGUGUUCACGCGUGUCAUCUUCUGCCCCGACAAGGCCGAGUUCUUCAAGAGCUCGCUCAACAUCAUUGACUUCGUGGCCAUCCUGCCCUUCUACCUGGAGGUGGCGCUCAGCGGCCUCUCGUCCAAGGCUGCCAAGGACGUGCUGGGCUUCCUGCGUGUCGUCCGCUUCGUCCGGAUCUUGAGGAUCUUCAAGCUCACGCGCCAUUUCGUCGGGCUCCGCGUGCUGGGCCACACUCUGCGUGCCAGCACCAACGAGUUCCUGCUCCUAAUCAUCUUCCUGGCUCUCGGGGUGCUCAUCUUCGCCACCAUGAUUUACUACGCCGAGAGGAUCGGCGCUGACCCCGGCGACCCCACGGCCAGCGCCCACACCUCAUUCAAGAACAUCCCUAUUGGCUUCUGGUGGGCCGUGGUCACCAUGACUACGCUGGGCUAUGGCGACAUGUAUCCUGAGACGUGGUCGGGCAUGUUGGUUGGCGCUCUGUGUGCCCUGGCUGGUGUGCUCACCAUCGCUAUGCCAGUGCCUGUCAUCGUCAACAACUUCGGCAUGUACUACUCACUGGCCAUGGCCAAGCAGAAGCUGCCCAAGAAGAAGAAUAAACACAUCCCACGAGCCCCGCAGCCUGGCUCGCCCAAUUACUGCAAGCCCGAUGCUCUCGCCAUGGCCACAGCCUCGCCGCACAGGAUCAUGGGUAAUGUGCUGGGCGGCAGCAUAGCAGGGGACUGCCCCCUGGCGCAGGAAGAGAUCAUCGAGAUCAACAGAGCAGACUCGAAGCAGAACGGGGACGCGGCUAACGCAGCCCUGGCUAACGAGGACUGCCCCACAAUAGACCAGGUGCUGGGGCCGGACGACAGGAGUCCGGCAACGGGGACCGGGCGCUACCCGCACGACCGCGCCUGCUUCCUGCUCAGCGCUGGCGAGUUCCGCACCACCGACAGCAAUGUCAGGAAAGGCCGGCGCUACAGUGUCCGUAGUGUUACUAAAGUCUGACCUGAGAGAACUAUUCUGAAAGCCCACUGCUUAUCAGAUAUAUGCAAAAAGAAGCUGUAACUGUGAAGUAAUCUAGAACAGGAAACUCCAUUUCUCCCUUCACGUGCACGCUCCCGAAUGAACACUCAACCUCUCAAUCACCCCCCACCCUUCUCCCUGUAACGAUGGUUCCUUCCUCACCAACCUCUCCAGCCUUAUUCCCCAUUUUUAUUUGUUUUUGGUCCCAUGAUUUUUUCCACAUAUCUUCUUUUCAUGCACUAAGUUCUGUUCUUUUUUUUUUCCCUUCUCUCAGUACGCAGAACAGAUUAUUCUGAUUUCCUCCGCAUGUCAGCGGGCCGUGUUACCACUUGCCGCCCACUGGAUGCUCGUAGCGGAACUCGUUCGCAGGCCCUCGAGCAUUUAACGAGAGCUAAAUUGAUGUAGCACACACUAUCAUGUAGAACAGUAGCAGACGUUUAGUCGUUUUAACGGAGUAAGGAUCGAUGUUGAGUGUUGAUCGAGGAACGUAAACGAACAAGGAAGACGAUGACGAUGCUACGACUGUCUUCAGCAGUGCAUGUUGCCUCGCGUACUACCGGAAUGCUUCGUGCUGCAUCCUUGUGCAUCUUGCGAUUUUUUUUUUUUCCUAUAUGCAUUUAAAAGAUUUAAAAGAGCUAGGCUAGGCUCAGGAGAGCAGGAGAAGACAACACUUCAUCCCACCCUAAAAAAAAAAAAAAAAAAUGCUGAGGAGGUAAGCACAGGAACGAGCAAGCUGCGUCCAUUUUGAAUGUAGCUUCUAGCCGUGUAAUGAUUUUUGACAUAAUUGAUCUCCAUGCAAAAAUGACCCAGAAUCCUCUCUGUCUCCCAUGUCACUACUCAGGUAUAGCUCUCUACGUCGGUCUUUUAUCAGUGCUUCCAAAAACGAUGUCAACUCUGAAUAAAAAAAGAGACAGAAACAGAAAACGAAUGAGGAAGGGGUUAGUAGAAACUUGUCCUGAAGUGUCCACAGGUCUUCCUUUCCUAGUGUCCUUGUGCUAUUUAUUUAUUUAUUUAUUUAUUUAUUUAUUUAUUUUUUGCAUAAUCUAUGACAUCUCUCUCCAUGCCCUCGCAAUCACGUUGACUCCCAUUUUAUUCUUUUUUUUUUUUUUUUUUUUUUUUUUUUUUUUGGAUUAAUUUCCUGGAUAAUGAUAUAAAAAAAAAAAGAAAUGUCAAAAUGUGAUCUGCCCUUAAAUGGAUUACAAACAACCAAAAAAAAAAUAAAUGAGUGGGACUGAAAGAGCAAAAGACAGACGGACAGAGUGUAUGUGUGGGGGGGAAAUAAACGAGUGUGUGUUGAAAGAGGAUUCUACAAGGAAGAAAGGCACCGAGAAAUGGAGGAGAGUUUGAGGAAGAAGGAAAAACUGAAAACAGGAGAGAGAGAAAGAGAGGAGGAAGGAAGGAAGCUGAUCGGCUUCUCAGUUGCUGAGUUUCUGAACUGACCGCUUUGUCUCUAAAGACGAAUCCGGCACUGCAGACGAAAAAAUCCAGAUUCCAACUCCAUAAAGUGAGAGAACACACCAGGAGGAAAGAAGUGAGAAAAGAGAAGAGGAGAGGAAGGAGACGGAGCGGUGCUAAUAAGGCUUGAGGAAGUGGAAUCUGUUGUGUCUCCGCUCAUAGAUGGAACCCCUGAAUGGAUCAACCAAGCACAGGCACAUUUCACCAUUAUGAUGGUGGGACUUUACAUGUUCUUCCAAACUGGACAGUCGUUUCAAUCUGGGCUUAUUCGCAUACAUAUCAGUCCAACGCUGUGGAAAGAUUUCCUUUCCUCUUUUGCACUCAGCGGUUCCAUCUCUUUGCAUCGAUUCUUCUUUUUUUUUUUAAAAAAAAAAGUCAUUUGCAUGCACUUCAGGUGGAAGCUAAAGAUUUAAACUCAGAAAACAGGGAUUGCUCCCGCUUUGGGCUCUCCACCGUUUGUUUUUAAGGGCAAAGAAAAUUCCAUGGAAGGUUUCCCAAGCUUGAUUCAACUCUAUGCAAUUCAGCCACUCACUAUUUAAGAAAAAAAAAAAAAGCCAAAUCAGCAGAUGGCACUCAACUUCAUCCUCUUCCCAAAAGAGAGAGGGUCAAGAGCCAGCGCCUGGCACGAACUCACGUCUGCGCCGAAACUCUCCUCUCAUGUACUGCAGCUAAACGUUCAUCGAACAUGACAGGCAAAUUCAUCACGUCACGUCCAGGACUCACAGGCAUGUGACUAUAAACAGUACACAGGAAAGACGCUUAGCAUCCUUUCCAGUCUUUCUUGUGUCUCUUUUCAACAUCUCAGCGUUUCUCCUCCUCUGUAGCUGAACUGCAUGGCAUGAACUAAAAAAAAAAAAAACGACAAAUUAUAAUUAAAUCCUGGUAGAAGAAAGUACAGGACACAGGACAGGACGGAGAAACUGAUGAGAUGUUUAAAUCCUGACUGCAUUGUCUGUACAGAAGAGGACUAGACGACGCGAGUCUCUCGCCUUCAACCCGGGGAAGAGGGUGGAGUUUUUCCAGAUCAUCAGAACGGAUACGGAACCUGCUGAAGGACAGAGUGGGGUGAACUUUGAACUAAACACUUAAGGGGAAAAAAAGAAAUAACACAAUAGAAUACGAAUGCAAAUUGAAAAAAAAAAAAUGCAUUUUCUGACUUUGUUUACCAGCAUGAUAAAAAAUUGCAUGAGUCUGCUUCUAAUAAGUCCUCACCCAAUUCCCCCAAACACACACACUUUAAAAAAAAAAAAAAGCAAAAAGAGGGCUUGGAAUUAUUAAAAGAGCAAAAUCAUGGGGAAACAUUGCAGGUUUAUGUUAUAUGCAACUACAUUUAGAAAGUUAUAUUAUUAAAAAAAAAGUUCUAUAUUUUGUUUUACUACUAAAAAUGGGAUACGCAAAUAUACAUGUAGGACUGCAAGAUCCAGUCAGAACAUAGAUAUUAGACCCCGAACUGAUAUGGAAAAUAAAUUCCUGCUAUUUAAAAACUAGUUCUACUCAUCAUUUUCACACUAAAACCUCUUGCUUUCCCUCUCUAUUCCUAAUCUUAACUCUCCUCGUGCUUUUUAUCCCCUGCGUCUCUGCAUUUGCAUCCUGGGAAUUUACAUCUUCCACCAUUUGCCAGGGAUGAAAAAAAAAAAAAACACAACCACUUGGUCACAAUCCAUGCAAAUAUUUAAAACCCUUUCUGAAAUAUUGCAUAUCAGAAUUCAGAAUGCUAAUCAUAUUGCUAGAGCCAAGCAUUUAGGACUGAAAUUAAGGUUUUAAGUGUUGACUUUUAAUGCCGUCAGGUCAGGGUCACUUUCCUGUUGUUUCUGAUUAGUUUUCUUAAAUUUUAAGUCUUAGGGAGAUUUCAGUAGCACUACAGUGAGUAAGUUGAAACCUAUGUUAAGCUGUACUGUGUAAAAGCCCUAGGUCAUUAUUUUAUGUUUAAAGCAAAAUAUUCGUGCAGUAGAUGCAAUUUCUAUUCAAAAGGAACAAGAUGUUUUGUGCAUGUUCCAAAAAGGUCAUUAGUAUAUUGUAAGAUGGCACCUCAAUUUUAACUUAAUUAGACAUUGAUUUGCGAAGUCAGGUGUGCUUGUGGUCUAACUUCAUGUCCCCUUCAAACACACAGGUUUACUGGAUGAUAUUCCUAUUGGAAUAUACAUUAAUGCAGUUAUGCACACGUAAAGUUUAUGAACAUUUUCCAAAAUACAUUGUUUCAUAUUGACUAUCUUAAAGAAAGCAAUCCAAAAGACCUCUGUAAAUUAACAUGAGUCUUUCAUUUGUGACAAAAUACUGGCAGAAGAGUUAGUAGCCGACACGCUGCAGUGGCCGAGCUGCAUUACUGGAGGAUUUAGCGCAUGCUGUGGUUAGGAGGAGCUCUUUCACCUUUAAUCAUCAUUUUGUCAUUUUCAGCUCUCUGUAAGCUUUUUUUAUGGUGUUUUAUGGGCAUCACUAAACAUAAAUCAGCUGUGCCAGGAAUUUUCAAUUUGGUUAGGGAUAUGAUAAGAUUUACACACAACUUUAGUAAAAGAAAUAAAUGUCCCUCAUAUACUCAUAGCAACACCACACACACACACACACACACACACUAAAAUACCAUUGUAGAAGUGUCGACAUCUAUGUUUAAGCUGUAGCAGACAACGAGUCAACCAUUUGAUGCGUCAUUAAGGGUUAAGGUUAGGAGUAAGGUAAGAGUUAGCCAAUCAUGUAACUUGAUUUGUCGAUCACUUGAUUUAUUGAAUCACAAAUUGCAUCAGUCCGUCAUGUUAUGCAUCAGUCACUGGUCUUAAACGUCAAAAAGGCAUACUUUUACUUUAUUUAUAUCCACACUUCUUGUUCUUUUUGAGCAAUUACUAACUGUAAUUUUACAAUUAAAUAAUAACAAAGCUGCACGCAUUUGUAAUGAUAAAAAUCAUGCGAAAUUCAGAGAAUGUUGAGUAGGCUAAUAAAUAAUUAACUAAUUUCUUAGAGUCUAUUAGAAUAGGGGACAUACUGGGUAAUUACAUGGAAGCAUUAAGGUUUAGUUUGACCAUUAUGGAAAAACAUGAUGGAUAGCUUGUAUUAAUCUGUGAAUUAACAUGUGAUUGACGGGCAUAAGCAUUUACUUAAUACUUACUUGUCCCUGCCCACAAUAGUCUCCAAGCUGCAACAUUCCCCUACUGUCAUUUUGUCGUUUUUCAGCACUCUGGGCGAGUUUGGUGGGCCUUACAAGAUGUCACGAAAUCAGCUGUGCCUGUAGUAUGUUCUUGGUAAUUUAUGGGUGAUUGGUGUUUAUCAGUGUAUACACAAAAGUACGAAAGAAAACCAGCAAAACUUUUGUACAUCUGGCAGGAGUGAUUAAGUUUGGUAUGACCUUUGAAAACAUUUAGACACAAUUUUAAUUAAAGAUUAAUAAAUUAGGUAUACCAGAAGAAAAGCUUCUUCUGACAUUAUUGCCACUAAUAAUGUUUUAACAAUAUCAUGUGCCAUUUCAAACAAAUAAACAGUUGCUUUAAACAUAAUUUCCUCAGAUGACCUAAGACUUUCCCGUAGUACUGUGUAUAUAAGUUGAGGUAAAGAAGAAAAGCUGGCUUUCUGAGUUCAUUUCAAAUUUUUUUUGUCUUUUUUUAUUCAGGUAGCCCUAUAAUUGUAGCCACACAAGUGAAGCCGUGUUUCUAAGCAGAACCCACUGAGAGCAGAAGUGUAUUUUCAUUGACUCUCUUUUAUCUUGUAUGGAACAAUGUGUUACUGUUCCAUCUAAUCUCAUAAUCAUUUUAAUACAGUAAUAUAGUAAUAAAGACGGUAGCAACCGCUGAUGUGUAAGAGCAAUACCAUGAAUUUUUUUUUUCUAUCGUCACUCCAUCUUCUAUUCAUUCCCAACACUUAAGUGCUUUAAAUGCCAAAAUGCAGCCACAAAUUCUGACCUUACAGGCGAAAGUUUUAUCAUUAUUUAAUUAAGUGCUUAAUUAAGUGCUGCUCUAUUUAUUUAUUAAUUCAUUCUGUGAUAUGUUUAAUGCUAAGUAUUUCAGUGCACAGCUCUACAGUUGAAUUUCGUAAUGCACCCUGAUGGAUAAAGCUGAAAUUAUACGGUGCUGUUCAGGUCUUCCUUAGCAACUUUAAGGUGUAAGAGGAAAUGAUGAGACAUAGACUAAUGGAUGCUGCUUCUUCAUCAUGUACAGUUUAGCAGGAAAUGUGUUUCGGUUGAUGUUUAUGUAUCAUGCCUCUUUUUGUCAUUUUUCUAUUACAUAAUGUACAGCGAAUGAUAAUUUUGAACUCCUGGAAGGUGAGACGGUGAGAAUGCAAACUGGACCGAUGAUGUAUUUAACAAAUUCACGUCGUCACCUUCUACAUUCCGUACUGAUAUACAGUGGACAGUUAGAAUAUAUUGCACAUUAAACAAAAGCCUCUAUUAUUGUGUUUUUUUUUUUUUCUAUUUAUUGAUGAGCAAUCUUGCGAAUGCGAUUUUAGUGUUUUGUUUUGUUUUUGUCACUACACGUGUUGAAAACUGGGCCAGGACGCAAAAUGAGUCAACUAACUACCUAUGCAGGGUUGGCAUCGUUCUCAGGCCAGUUAGCUGACAGUUGUAUGGUGAGAAGCAGAUGAACCAGGAGCUGGAGGAGAGUGCAGGUCAAGCUGCUAAAAGGGCUAUGUAAAAAAACACCGACACAAAACACCAGAGGCCAUCGCUGCAUCUUUACCAAAGGUCAGCAGGUUGAAAUAUAUGGUGCCAUUUAGUUAUUUUCACAAUUAUUCUUGCUCUGCAUCUGCAAAAUGAUCUGUGAAGCAGGAAGUUAGUCAGCGCUCCUUACUGAAGGUCCACAGAAAGUAGUUGUGUAUCGAGAAAAGCCAGAUUCUGUUCAUGCCAUUCAGUUAAAGCAAUAAUUUUGAUUCAUCCUGAGUCUUAAUGUCUUCAUUUCAAUGAUCCUUUUUCAUCAUGUUUAAGAAUCUUGUGUGCAUGAGAGAUGAAUAUAUUUUCCACAAAUUGGGUUUAGCGACGUCGACAAGAGAGAGCUUUGUGAACAAGUGUGUUCAUGUGUGGGGGUUUUCGAUUGAGAAACAGAGUGAAAUUACCCCUAGAACCCCCCCCCCAUCACACACACACACACACACACACACAUACACACACUUAAUACAACACUCAGCUCACCAUGUGCAUACAUUUCCUCAAAACUUAAAUAUGUAACAUAUCAGAGAGGACUAGAGCAAAAAAAAAAAAAAUCAGUCUUUCCUCCUCGUUCUUCUCUCCUCUGCUCCUCGUCCUUCUCUAUUUUUGAGAAAGAAGCUCUUUUGCAUCCCUUGUUCUUGUGUUUUUCUAUCAUAUUGUUUGAGAUUGAAUUAUACUGCAUGCAUGGGAUUUAAAACAAAACAAAACAAAGUCUCAACUUAUUUGCAAAUGGCCAGAAUGAGGUAACUGUCUUUUUCUCCUGGCUUCUCGGUUGUUCUCUCACUCAGAUUUGGCUGGGAAAGGAAAAAAAAUACAUAUGCAUAUAUUAUUUAUUGUCUUUUCAUGAGUAGUUAAGUCUUAUCAUCAAAACUGCAUUAAUUAAUACUUUAUAUUAGACAUUGCACUUUGAGUUUGCUCAACCAGCCAGGUUAAUUCAUUUUAAAUUCGUUCAAUUCGUUUAAUUUUAUUUUGCACACUUCCAGAAUUUUUGAAGCCAAAAAUUUUUAAAGUUAACAAUUAAUGUACAUCUGAAAUAUUUGUGCCAUUGAAUUUGGUGCUUCUGAUGUUUUUGCCACAUUCAACCCUUUCACACACCCUGAGAGAGAAAACAAAAGAACAGAGAGAAAGACGGUUAUUAAAAACAGUGAACGGUUUAUGCUAUUAAGACCGAUACUGGACACAGUUUUAAUGUCAUAAUAUGUAAAAAAUAAAAAAUAAAAAUUAAAAAAAAAAGGAAAAAACCACAACAGAACUGUAUAAAAUAUAUUUCAAUGGAAUGUUUAUUAUUUACCUUUUAUAUUUUUGAAACAUGUAAAGAAAAAAUUAAUAAACUGUUAUAAUUUAACAAAGUUUGAGAAAAACUGAGACUUAAAACAUUAUCCUGUUGAAGGUACGAAUGUUUGAAGGUGAAUGCUUACCUACCUGAUAAAAAGUCUUCAUUACAAAUAGGGGAAAAACACAUGAAAUGGUACAAAAAAUAAAAGAAAAAAGUACAUUUAAAAAGAAAAGCUUAUGAAAAUCAAUAAAAAUUAUAAAAGCUCUUGCCAAAAUUUUCAA